rnacentral:rRNA from 1 species
CCCUUAGAUGUUCUGGGCCGCACGCGCGCUACACUGAUGCAUUCAACGAGUUUCUUCCUGGUCCGAGAGGAAUGGGUAACCUUUUGAAAGUGCAUCGUGAUAGGGAUAGACUAUUGCAAUUAUUGGUCUUCAACGAGGAAUUCCUAGUAGACGUAGUUCAUCAGACUGCAUCGAUUACGUCCCUGCCCUUUGUACACACCGCCCGUCGCUCCUACCGAUUGAAUGCUCAGGUGAGCCAUUCGGACUUUCAUCAUGCUGGUUUCCAGUUUUGAUGAAGGAAAGUCUUGCGAACCUUAUCAUUUAGAGGAAGGAGAAGUCGUAGCA